GAUGAACGCUGGCGGCGUGCCUAAUACAUGCAAGUCGAGCGAACGGACGAGAAGCUUGCUUCUCUGAUGUUAGCGGCGGACGGGUGAGUAACACGUGGAUAACCUACCUGUAAGACUGGGAUAACUUCGGGAAACCGGAGCUAAUACCGGAUAAUAUUUUGAACCGCAUGGUUCAAAAGUGAAAGACGGUCUUGCUGUCACUUAUAGAUGGAUCCGCGCUGCAUUAGCUAGUUGGUAAGGUAACGGCUUACCAAGGCAACGAUGCAUAGCCGACCUGAGAGGGUGAUCGGCCACACUGGAACUGAGACACGGUCCAGACUCCUACGGGAGGCAGCAGUAGGGAAUCUUCCGCAAUGGGCGAAAACCUGACGGAGCAACGCCGCGUGAGUGAUGAAGGUCUUCGGAUCGUAAAACUCUGUUAUUAGGGAAGAACAUAUGUGUAAGUAACUGUGCACAUCUUGACGGUACCUAUCCAGAAAGCCACGGCUAACUACGUGCCAGCAGCCGCGGUAAUACGUAGGUGGCAAGCGUUAUCCGGAAUUAUUGGGCGUAAAGCGCGCGUANGCGGUUUUUUAAGUCUGAUGUGAAAGCCCACGGCUCAACCGUGGAGGGUCAUUGGAAACUGGAAAACUUGAGUGCAGAAGAGGAAAGUGGAAUUCCAUGUGUAGCGGUGAAAUGCGCAGAGAUAUGGAGGAACACCAGUGGCGAAGGCGACUUUCUGGUCUGUAACUGACGCUGAUGUGCGAAAGCGUGGGGAUCAAACAGGAUUAGAUACCCUGGUAGUCCACGCCGUAAACGAUGAGUGCUAAGUGUUAGGGGGUUUCCGCCCCUUAGUGCUGCAGCUAACGCAUUAAGCACUCCGCCUGGGGAGUACGACCGCAAGGUUGAAACUCAAAGGAAUUGACGGGGACCCGCACAAGCGGUGGAGCAUGUGGUUUAAUUCGAAGCAACGCGAAGAACCUUACCAAAUCUUGACAUCCUUUGACAACUCUAGAGAUAGAGCCUUCCCCUUCGGGGGACAAAGUGACAGGUGGUGCAUGGUUGUCGUCAGCUCGUGUCGUGAGAUGUUGGGUUAAGUCCCGCAACGAGCGCAACCCUUAAGCUUAGUUGCCAUCAUUAAGUUGGGCACUCUAAGUUGACUGCCGGUGACAAACCGGAGGAAGGUGGGGAUGACGUCAAAUCAUCAUGCCCCUUAUGAUUUGGGCUACACACGUGCUACAAUGGACAAUACAAAGGGCAGCGAAACCGCGAGGUCAAGCAAAUCCCAUAAAGUUGUUCUCAGUUCGGAUUGUAGUCUGCAACCCGACUACAUGAAGCUGGAAUCGCUAGUAAUCGUAGAUCAGCAUGCUACGGUGAAUACGUUCCCGGGUCU
rnacentral:rRNA from 1 species